UUUACAAAAAUUAUACCCGUCAAAGUGUCUAGGAACUCGAGGUAAAGUGCUGGCAACUCGAGGCCUUUAACCUAAAAUAUUUUUUCAGUGCGAAUUGUGAAAAUUCAUAGUAAAUACAUAUCAUAUGAUUAGCGAUGGAAAACAUAGAUAAUACAGUCAGGGUAAAAAAAGAAAUGAAUGAUACUUGACUGAAAGCCGAUGAUGAUCAUGUUUUUGAUCCAGUGGAUUCUCCCGAAGCAAACAUUUUUAAAACAUUCCCGGUUCACGAAUCGAUAAGAAAUCAUAUGAACAAAGCUAUUGAUUUGAACGAAAAGUUGGAGAAAAAGAUGACCAUUGAAUUUGAGUGCAAAGAUGUUAAACUUGAACUGCCGUCUCUAUCGACAACCAUAUGCAAAACUGAGUUUCAGAAUUAUCCACCAAUUGUGAAAGAAGAAAA